rnacentral:rRNA from 1 species
GACGAACGCUGGCGGCGUGCUUAACACAUGCAAGUCGAGCGGUAAGGCCCUUUCGGGGGUACACGAGCGGCGAACGGGUGAGUAACACGUGGGUGACCUGCCCUCAGCUCUGGGAUAAGCCUGGGAAACCGGGUCUAAUACUGGAUAUGACUCCAUGACGCAUGUUGUGGGGUGGAAAGCCUUGUGCGGCUGAGGAUGGGCCCGCGGCCUAUCAGCUUGUUGGUGGGGUGANGGCCUACCAAGGCGACGACGGGUAGCCGGCCUGAGAGGGCGACCGGCCACACUGGGACUGAGACACGGCCCAGACUCCUACGGGAGGCAGCAGUGGGGAAUCUUGCGCAAUGGGCGAAAGCCCGACGCAGCGACGCCGCGUGAGGGAUGAC